rnacentral:tRNA from 1 species
CCCCCAGUGGCUCAGUUGGUAAAGAUUCUGCUUGUAAUGCAGGAGACCCAGGUUCAGUUCCUGGGUGGGAAA